rnacentral:rRNA from 1 species
AUACGUAGGGAGCGAGCGUUGUCCGGAAUUACUGGGCGUAAAGGGCGCGUAGGCGGCGCUUCAAGUCGUCUGUCAAAUGGAAGGGCUUAACCCUUUUUCGCAGACGAAACUGGAGAGCUUGAGAAGCAGAGAGGCAAACAGAAUUCCUGGUGUAGCGGUGAAAUGCGUAGAUAUCAGGAAGAAUACCAGUGGCGAAGGCGGUUCGCUGGCUGCAUACUGACGCUGAAGCGCGAAAGCCAGGGGAGCGAACGGGAUUAGAUACCCCGGUAGUCCUGGCAGUAAACGAUGUAUGCUGGGUGUGAGACUAGCGAUAGUUUCGUGCCGAAGUUAACGCGAUAAGCAUACCGCCUGGGGAGCACGGUCGCAAGAUUGAAACUCAAAUGAAUUGACGGGG